rnacentral:ncRNA from 2 species
CCCUUCACUGAUCGCGCCGGUGCCCCGAACGGGGCUUAAUCGGGAAUGCGGUGCGGAAUGCCUGGCUUUCCAAAUCCGCGGCUGUCCCUGCAACUGUAAGCGGAUAGCGCGAUGCACAUGCCCCUCAUUUGCGGGGGCGGCCACUGGACUGCGCCUCGGCAAGUCUGGGAAGGCGUGCAUCAAGCUGUGACCCGCGAGCCAGGAGACCUGCCGGCGCACCGGUCGCUCU